rnacentral:hammerhead_ribozyme from 1 species
AUAUUUCUGAUGAGUCCAAAUUAGGACGAAACGUGAGUCUUAAAU